UACGUAGGGACCGAGCGUUGUCCGGAAUCAUUGGCGUAAAGAGCGUGUAGGCGGCCACUUAAGUCCUGCGUGAAAUCUUGCCGGCUCAACCGCAAGCGGUCGUGGGAAACUGGGUGGCUAGAGUGCGGGAGAGGAGAGUGGAAUUCCGUGGUGUAGCGGUGGAAUGCGCAGAUAUCAGGAAGAACACCCGUGGCGAAGGCGGCUCACUGGACCAUAACUGACGCUGAUGCACGAAAGCUGGGGGGAGCAAACAGG
rnacentral:rRNA from 1 species